rnacentral:rRNA from 1 species
CCUACGGGGGGCAGCAGUGAGGAAUAUUGGUCAAUGGACGAGAGUCUGAACCAGCCAAGUAGCGUGAAGGAUGACUGCCCUAUGGGUUGUAAACUUCUUUUAUAUGGGAAUAAAAUGUUCCACGUGUGGGAUUUUGUAUGUACCAUAUGAAUAAGGAUCGGCUAACUCCGUGCCAGCAGCCGCGGUAAUACGGAGGAUCCGAGCUUUAUCCGGAUUUUUUGGGUUUAAAGGGAGCGUAGGUGGAUUGUUAAGUCAGUUGUGAAAGUUUGCGGUACAAGCGGAAAAUUGCAGUUGAAACUGGCAGUCUUGAGUACAGUAGAGGUGGGCGGAAUGCGUGGUGUAGCGGUGAAAUGCUUAGAUAUCACGCAGAACUCCGAUUGCGAAGGCAGCUCACGGGACUGCAACUGACACUGAGGCUCGAAAGUGUGGGUAUCAAACAGGAUUAGAUACCCCGGUAGUC